rnacentral:rRNA from 1 species
UACAGAGGUCCCAAGCGUUGUUCGGAUUCACUGGGCGUAAAGGGUGCGUAGGUGGCUGGUAAGUUCGAUGUGAAAUCUCCGGGCUUAACCCGGAAAUGGCAUUGAAUACUAUUGAGCUGGAGGUUUGGAGGGGGGACUGGAAUUCUCGGUGUAGCAGUGAAAUCGUAGAUAUCGAGAGGAACACCAGUGGCGAAAGGCGAGUCCCUGGACAACACCUGACCACUGAGGCACGAAAGCUAGGGGGAGAAACAGGAUUAGAAACCCCUGG